rnacentral:pre_miRNA from 1 species
UGGUGUGGGGCUGUUAUCAGCACACUUUGGGCCUCUUGGUACCAGCUGAGCAUCAUU